AGGUUAUUGCAGGAUACUGAGUGGAGUUCCCUGUGCUAUACAGUGAAACUCCAUGAAAUCUGUCUUGUAGAAGUGGUUGUAGUUCAUGAAGUCUGUCCCACUAUAUACCCAAGGCCAUGGAACCUGAGUGAAAUCUCAUCAUCCCAUGUCACAUUUCAGGCAUAGAUACAUAUAAACGUGUCACGGAUUUUCUUCAAACUACAUCGUAAUCCAAGAUCAAGAAUAAACGUAUUGGAAGGAAUUAAAAUAUUCGCUUCCUAACUGCAUAAAGAUUCAUUCAAUCUACUCCA